rnacentral:rRNA from 1 species
GAUGAACGCUAGCGGCAGGCUUAACACAUGCAAGUCGAGGGGUAGAGGAAGCUUGCUUCCUUGAGACCGGCGCACGGGUGCGUAACGCGUAUGCAACCUACCUCUUACAGAGGGAUAGCCCAGAGAAAUUUGGAUUAAUACCUCAUAGUAUAUAGUCUUCGCAUGUUGACUAUAUUAAAGUUCCAACGGUAAAAGAUGGGCAUGCGUCCUAUUAGCUAGAUGGUAAGGUAACGGCUUACCAUGGCAACGAUAGGUAGGGGUCCUGAGAGGGAGAUCCCCCACACUGGUACUGAGACACGGACCAGACUCCUACGGGAGGCAGCAGUGAGGAAUAUUGGACAAUGGGCGCAAACCUGAUCCACCCAUGCCGCGUGCAGGAAGAAGCAUCUAUGGUGUGUAAACUGCUUUUGUACAGGAAGAAACUCCCCGACGUGUCGGGACUUGACGGUACUGUAAGAAUAAGGAUCGGCUAACUCCGUGCCAGCAGCCGCCGUAAAAC